GCUCCCUUCUGCAGUGUGUACUAAAAUUGAAACCAGAAAGAUGCAUGCAUGGUUCCUGCAAAAGGAUGACAGAAAAAUCCAUGCUGUUCUCCAUUUUUUA
rnacentral:snRNA from 1 species